AGGGUUUCGCUCUGUCACCCAGGCUGGGAUGCAGUGGUGCAAUCAUAGCUCACUGCAACCUCGACCUCCCAGGUUCAAGUGAUCCUCCCACCUCAGCCUCCAAGUAGCUGGAACUACAGGUGCGCACCAACAUGCCCAGCUAAUUUUUUGUUUUUUAUAUUUUGUAGAUCCUGGGUUUUGCUGUGUUACCCAGGCUGGUCUCGCACUCUAGGGCUCAAGGGAACUGCCCGCCUCAGCCUCCCGAAGUGCUGGGAUUACAGGAGUGAGCCCCGACGCCCAGCCAGGAAACUUUUAAAGUUUUAUUUUCUUUAUUAGUAUUUUUAAAACAAAAUAACUCAUGUUCCUGUAAUAGCUACCAUUUGAGUAAGGUAGAAGUGAGCGCUUGAGGCAGGGAGUGUGACGUUUGGAAGCAGGUGGCUGUGCAGUUGGUGACCUCCGUUUUUCCCACGGGGCUGGUCUGCCACCGGCUGUGUUCUCGUCCCCAUCCUGGGCGUCUGCCUGUCGGCGUAUGUCACAUUGGCUUGUUCUCAUGGCGCAUAGUGCCCUGCCGCCUGGAUUCACCACAGUCCUUCAGCCAGCCCCCACUGUGUGCCCUCUGUGGGUGUUAACUCCAGGUACUUGGGCUGCAGGGUAGAGGAGGCAGCCAGGCCUGAGGCUGUGCCCCUCUGUGGCCUUAGGAGUCACAGCAGCCGCCUCUGAGAGGCCAACAGGUAUCAGGGCACCCAGAGCCACCACUGUGUCCAGAACGGCAUUUCCACUUCACUGGCCAGGUCUAAAGUCCUGAGGGGCCUUUGCUCCAGGGACCCGGGGUGCCUCCCUCAGCAGGGCAGGAACUAGGCCAGGAAUACCAUGGGGCACUGAAGGAGGACCCUCCCUCUAUCCCUGUAACCCUCCAUCCCUGUACCUCUCCAUCCCUCCAUCCCUGCACCCCUCCGUCCCUGUGCCCUUCUAUCUCUCCAUCCCUGCACCCCUCCAUCCCUGUACCCCAUCCCUGUACCCCUCCGUCCCCCAUCCCAGCACCCCUCCAUCCCUGUACCCCUCCAUCCUUCCAUCCCUGCACCCUCCAUCCCUCUAUCCCUGCACCCCUCCAUCCCUGUACCCUCCAUUCCUCUAUCCCUGCACCCCUCCAUCCCUGUACCCUUCCAUCACUCCAUCCCUGCAUCCCUCUGUCCCUGCAUCCCUCCAUCCCUGCACCCCUCCAUCCCUCCAUCCCUGCACCCCUCCUUCGUUGUACCCCUCCAUCCUCCAUCUCUGCAUCCCUGCACCCCUCCAUCCUCCAUCCCUGUACCCUUACAUCCUCCAUCCCUGCAUUCCUCCAUCGCAGCAUCCCUGCAUGCCUCCGUUCUCUGCAUCCCUCCACCCCAGUAUCCCUGCACCUCUUCAUCCCUCCAUUCCUGCAUCCCUCUAUUUUUCCAUCCCUCCAUUCCUGUAUCCCUGUACCCUCCAUCCUCCAUCCCAGCAUCCCUCCAUCCCUGCUCCCCACUCUCACUUCCCUUCCCUUCACAGACAGGCUUUUCCUGCCAUCCUCAGACCCCACCCAGGGUUACCUGAUGCCUUUCCAACCGCACACGGGGACUGACUCACCUCUCUCUUUCUCAGUCCCAAAGUCCCGAAAGAGAGCAUCUGAUGUGGCCAGCUUGUGACAAGGCGUCCACCUUCUGUCCAUGACACGGAGGCCAGGGGAAGGUCUCACUGCCCAGCACCCCACCCUGUGCUCCCAGGCCUUUUGAAUGUUCCUCCUGCUCAGCCCAGUGACUGCGGGCUGUGGCUCCUCCUUCAGCCUCCCCUCGAGGUCCUGGUCUUCCUUAGGAGGCCCCGGGUGUAGAUCCCGCCCCACCCACCAGGCAUUGCCCCUUUUCCGGGCUUCACAGACUCGGGAAUAAAGUUUCCUUCUGUUUCCCCUCUUGCAGAAGGAGAUCCGGUUGGCAGCUAAACCGCGCUGGGAACAGGGGCCUGAGUCCUGGACUAGGGCUCUUUCCCCGGGGCUGCUGCAGAUGGGGAGGAGCCUACACCCGCCUCCCGAGUGCUCACCUUGAUGAAAGGACUGUGCUAACCAGACCUGACAGGCUGGAGAAUGGCCAGUCAGCCUGAGGCCACCGCGGGACACCACCUAGGCCCAGCUUCUCCCCUGACCCUUUAUGUGAACCAGAACAGCCGCUUCCCCAGUGAGCUGUCAGAAGGCGUCGUGCCUGUCUUGCUAGUGGGGAAACUGAGGCUCAGAGAGGCAGAAGACUUGCCCAAGAUCACACCACCGGGACCCAGGAUUCAAGCACAGGCCUGCCCAGGCUCUCUGUGGCCUCCUGGCUGCGAGGAGGCAGCCAGGGACCAGGUGCCACCCUUCUGAGACACCUGAGAUCCCAGGCCCGAGAGGAUGAAGGCAGGAUUACCUGGAGCGUGUCUGAAUGCUGGAGGAAGAAGGGCAGCUGGGAGAUGAAGCUGUCAGGACGGGCCGCAUCCCAUUUCCUGCCUUGUUUCAGUUCAACUUUCCAACAGACCUCCCUGGCUCGUCUUGCUCUCCUCUAAUGGACGAACAAACAGGCUCAGAGAGGUGGUGUGACUUGCCCAAGGUCACUCAGCUUGGAUGCUGUGGAACAGGGACGUCCACUGUCCCAGUCUGUUUAUGGGAAGCCGCUCUGCAACUGUCCUGACCCACCACAUGCCCCACCGCUGUUUCUCUUGCCCUGAUCCCUCGUUCCCUGGACCAGGGUGGCACAGCUCCAGGCUCUUGGGCCCUUCCCGAGGGCAGGCACCUGUGACUGUGUCCCCAAAGACCUGAGUGGCUGAGGGGGCCCCACAGAGCUUGGGCUUCCUGGAGGACAAGGAGGGGUCUGCCAGCCACCCCCACCACCCCCGCCCCAGGGCUCCCCUGGAGCUUCCAUGCCAGCCGGACUCAGGUGGGUCUGGAGGAGCACCGUGCCUCCAAUCAGACCUUGAGAUGUGCCCCCUGCCCCCACCGUGCCCUCCCCUGCCCAGGACUCUGGUUGCAAACCCUGAUUAAGGGGAUUUUAUCUCCACCAGGGGGCCAGUAGCUGGGAAGUAGCUUAAACAAUGCAGGUUUAUAAUCUCACAGUUCUGGAGGUCAAGAGUCUGAAAUGGGCCUCAUGGGGCUAAAACCAAGGUGGCUGCAGGGCUGUGUUCCUUCUGGAGGCUCCAGGGCAGGAAGGGGAGGAUCCACUUCUGUGCCUUUCCAGCUUCUAGAGGCUGCCUGCGUUCCUUGGCUCGUGGCCCCUUCCUCCACCUUCAAGCCAGCAGCGGAGGCCUGAGUCCUUCUCAUGCCGUCUCUCUGUUCUCUCUCCUGCCUCCUCCUCCACACUGAAGGACCCCUGUGAUCACACUGGCCCCCCCACCGGAUGACCCAGGAUAAUCCAUCUCCCUGUUUGAAGGUCGGCUGAUUAGCAACCUUCAUUCCAUCUGCCUCCUUCAUUCCCCCUGGCCAUGUAAUGGGAUUCACAGCUUCUGGGGAUUAGGACAUGGACAUCUUGUGGCGGGGGCAUAAUUCUGUCGACGACACCAAGAAACACUUGGAUGUUAAGGAUUCACCGAACACUGUUCAGGCUCCAGGUGCUCGGAGCAGCAGUGAACAAAGCCAACAGACACCGCCACCCUCAAGGAGUUCACGUUCAUGGGCGAGGGAACAGAUGAGAAACCCGGCAAUGAAAGUAAGUAGCAUAAUUGACUUGAAAAGUGCCGGGGAGAAAGAGAAGACGGAUGGAGAAUGACACCUGGCCCUUUCUCUAUUUCUUUAUUAGUUUCACUCUUGUUGCCCAGGCUGGAGUGCAAUGGCGCAAUCUCAGCUCACUGCGACCUCUGCCUCCCAGCUUCAAGUGAUUCUGCUGCCUCAGCCUCCCGAGUAGCUUGGAUUACAGGCAUGCAUGCCCAGCUCAUUUUUUUUUUUUUUUUUUUUUUUUUUUAGUAGAGACGGGGUUUCACCAUGUUGGCCAGGCUGGUCUCAAACUCGUGACCUCAGGUGAUCCACCUGCAUCGGCCUCCCAAAGUGCUAGGAUUACAGGUAUGAGCCACCGUGCCCAGCCCCCCUUCUCUAUUUCUAAGGUGACCCAGAUUCCUUUACUGCUUUCUGGCAAAUCCACCUCUGGCCAGGCAGUAGGCCGGCGACGCAGGGCUUGAAGGCCAUAAUGGGGACGUUUGUCUAAUGGUGAGAAAGGAAACACUGGAAGGUUUUUGCUUCCCUUUUUAAAAAAUUCGGGUAUGGCCGGGCACGGUGG
rnacentral:lncRNA from 1 species